rnacentral:rRNA from 1 species
GACGGGGCCGCACAAGCGGUGGAGCAUGUUGGUUAAUUCGAAGCAACGCGAAGAACCUUACCAGGUCUUGACAUCCCGAUGCUAUUUCUAGAGAUAGAAAGUUACUUCGGUACAUCGGUGACAGGUGGUGCAUGGUUGUCGUCAGCUCGUGUCGUGAGAUGUUGGGUUAAGUCCCGCAACGAGCGCAACCCCUAUUGUUAGUUGCCAUCAUUCAGUUGGGCACUCUAGCGAGACUGCCGGUAAUAAACCGGAGGAAGGUGGGGAUGACGUCAAAUCAUCAUGCCCCUUAUGACCUGGGCUACACACGUGCUACAAUGGUUGGUACAACGAGUUGCGAGUCGGUGACGGCGAGCUAAUCUCUUAAAGCCAAUCUCAGUUCGGAUUGUAGGCUGCAACUCGCCUACAUGAAGUCGGAAUCGCUAGUAAUCGCGGAUCAGCACGCCGCGGUGAAUACGUUCCCGGGCCUU